GAUAUCCUCAUCCAGUAUGAUCGAA
rnacentral:piRNA from 1 species